rnacentral:rRNA from 1 species
CCUACGGGUGGCAGCAGUGAGGAAUAUUGGUCAAUGGCCGAGAGGCUGAACCAGCCAAGUCGCGUGAGGGAAGACGGCCCUACGGGUUGUAAACCUCUUGUGUCGGGGAGCAAAGCGAGGCACGUGUGACUCAUUGAGAGUACCCGAAGAAAAAGCAGCGGCUAACUCCGUGCCAGCAGCGGCGGUAAAACGGAGGAUGCGAGCGUUAUACGGAUUUAUUGGGUUUAACGGGUGCGCAGGCGGAGGUGCAAGUCAGCGGUCAAAUUGCGGGGCUCAACCCCGUACUGCCGUUGAAACUGCAUCCCUUGCGUGCGCUAGACGUCUGCGGACUGCGUGGUGUAGCGGU